ensembl:lncRNA
GUUUUGACAGUAAGUACUUUUUGAGGGGAUUUUGUCUCGCCGAGAGCUCUGCACUGCCAAUCGUGUGGCGGCUCAGGUCUUUGCUGAAGCUGUCAGUCUUCCUCUCAAGACGUGUGGCCACUUCAACUACACGGGCCGCAGAGAGGUUCAGCCCAUACUUCACACCUCCAUGCCGUCUCACACACCUUCGCCUUAAAAAAAAGAAUAAACAGUUGCAGCCUGGAUCAAAUAAGGCCGAGUGGCUGCUUGUGGGGAAAGGGGGCGCCUCUGUUUUAAGGUCGAAGGUGGCUGCUCCGAGCGGAACAGGACACACUGCGGGCGCAUGUUUCCUUGAACGUGGCCGUAUCGCAGUCAAGCGGGUCAGGAGUGUGCUGAAAGCACUUUUGCCAAUUCAGCGGCCACAAGAGGCCCACCCGGGCGCAGGGUAGGACCAAAAGAAAAGUCCCGAGCAAGUCAAACCUUUAAGUGGAG